GAGCCGUGACUUGUGAACCGUGUAAAGCAUUUUUUAGACGCAAUGCAAUUAGAAAUAAUUUUGAAUGUUUAUUUGAUGGUAAUUGUCAAAUAAAUUUGUUGACCCGAAAAUUUUGUCAAAAAUGUCGAUUAAAUAAAUGCUUUGCUAUUGGGAUGAAAAAGGAAUUCAUAUUAAAUGAAGAGCAAAGACAGUUUAGACGAAUACGAUUAGAAGCUAAACGUAAAGCACGUAAAAACAGUUAUGAAAGCGGUUCCGACUCGUCAUCGACGGC